CCAAGUGGAACACUCGUGACAGCUAUGAUGAUGUAUCCAGCUUCCAGGCCAACACAGCUCAUGGCAAGGGCCUCAAGAGGCCUGGCAAGAAAGGAUCAAAUAAGAGACCUGGAAAACGGACAAGAGAGAAAAUGAAGAGUAGAACACGCGAAGCAACAUCUUUGUGUGCAUAGAACCAAGAAAAAGGAAUGAAGAAUUGGGAUUUCACAUUACAAUUGGAUCCCUUAGGUUGGUUUCCUUUUGU